rnacentral:rRNA from 1 species
CUACGGGACGCUCCAGUGGGGAAUAUUGGACAAUGGACGAAAGUCCGAUCCAGCGACACCGCGUGGGGGAUGAAGGCUUUCGGGUUGUAAACCCCUUUUCUGGAGGAAGAAUAAGGUUGGGAGGAAAUGCCCAUCCGAUGACGGUACUCCAGGAAUAAGCAUCGGCAAACUUCGUGCCAGCAGCCGCGGUAAGACGAAGGAUGCGAGCGUUAUCCGGAAUUACUGGGCGUAAAAGACGUCUAGGCGGUUGGAUAAGUCAGUUGUGAAAUCCCAGGGCUUAACCCUGGAAGGUCUUGUGAUACUGUCCGGCUUGGGUGUAGGAGAGGAGAGCGGAACUCACAGAGUAGCGGUGGAAUGCGUAGAUACUGUGAGGUACCCCGAUGGCGAAGGCAGCUCUCUGGCCUACUACCGACGCUGAAGCGUGAAAGCGUGGGGAGCAAAGGGGAUUAGAUACCCGGGUAGUC